rnacentral:rRNA from 1 species
AUUGAACGCUGGCGGCAUGCCUUACACAUGCAAGUCGAACGGCAGCACGGGUGCUUGCACCUGGUGGCGAGUGGCGAACGGGUGAGUAAUACAUCGGAACGUACCUUAUCGUGGGGGAUAACGCAGCGAAAGUUGCGCUAAUACCGCAUACGCCCUGAGGGGGAAAGCGGGGGACCGUAAGGCCUCGCGCGAUUAGAGCGGCCGAUGUCUGAUUAGCUUGUUGGUGAGGUAAAAGCUCACCAAGGCGAUGAUCAGUAGCUGGUCUGAGAGGACGAUCGGCCACACUGUGACUGAGACACGGCCCAGACUCCUACGGGCGGCAGCAGUGGGGAAUUUUGGACAAUGGGGGCAACCCUGAUCCAGCAAUGCCGCGUGAGUGAAGAAGGCCUUCGGGUUGUAAAGCUCUUUUGUCAGGGAAGAAACAGCAGCUCUAACACAGUCUGCGAAUGACGGUACCUGAAGAAUAAGCACCGGCUAACUACGUGCCAGCCGCCGCCGUAA